rnacentral:lncRNA from 1 species
GGCCGAAGGAGGGCGGCGGUCGCAUUCCACCGGAACCGUGUCCCGCUCCCCGUCCUCCUCCUGCUCCCCGUCCUUCUCCCACUCCCCGUCCUCCUCCUGCUCCCCGUCCUCCUCCUGCUCCCCGUCCUUCUCCCACUCCCCGUCCUCCUCCUGCUCCCCGUCCUCCUCCUGCUCCCUGUCCUUCUCCCGUUCCCCGUCCUCGUCCUCCUCUUCGCGUUCCCCGUCCUACUCCUCCCGCUCCUCGUCCUCCUCCCGCUCCACGUCCCCGUCCUCCUCCUGCUCCCCGUCCUCCUCCUGCUCCCCGUCCUUCUCCCACUCCCCGUCCUCCUCCUGCUCCCCGUCCUCCUCCUGCUCCCUGUCCUUCUCCCGUUCCCUGUCCUCGUCCUCCUCUUCGCGUUCCCCGUCCUACUCCUCCCGCUCCUCGUCCUCCUCCCGCUCCACGUCCCCGUCCUCCUCCUGCUCCCCGUCCUCCUCCCGUUCCCUGUCCUCCUUGCGUUCCCCGUCCUCCUCCUCGCGGUCCCUGUCCUCCUCCUCCCGCUCCCCGUCCUCCUCCUCCCGCUCCUCGUCCUCCUCCUCCCGCUCCCCGUCCUCCUCCUCCCUGUCCUCCUCCUCCCCGUCCUCCUCCCGCUCCCCGUCCUCCUCCCGCUCCCCGUCCUCUUCCCGCUCCUCGUCCUCCUCCCGCUCCCUGUCCUUCUCCCGCUCCCUGUCUCCUCCCGCUCCUCGUCCUCCUCCCGGUCCUCGUCCUCCUCCCGCUCCCCGUCCUCCUUCUCCUCCCGCUUUCUUUCCUCCUCCUCCCGCUCCCGUCCUCCUCCCGCUCCCCGUCCUCCUCCCGUUCCUCAUCCUCCUCCUCCCGCUCCCGUCCUCCUCCCGCUCCCCGUCCUCCUCCCGCUCCCCGUCCUCCUUUUCCUCCCGCUCCCCGUCCUCCUUCCGCUCCCCGUCCUCGUCCUCCUCCCGUUCCUCGUCCUUCUCCUCCCGCUCCCCGUCCUCCUUCUCCUCCCGCUCCCCGUCCUCGUCUUCCUCCCGUUCCUCGUCCUUCUCCUCCCGCUCCCCGUCCUCCUCCUCCUCCUCCCCGCUCCCCGUCCUCCUCCCGCUCCCCGUCCUCCUCCUCCCGCUCCCCGUCCUCCUCCUCCCGCUCCCCGUCUUCCUCCUGUCGCAGCCCUCUACGGAGCCCACACAGAAAGCCCGAUGCGUCUUAAAAUAGCAGGCGGCCCGGUGGGUCCAGACAGCUGCACGUACGGCGCCGACAUCCGACUGACAGCUGCACUUAGGAUUCAGCAGGUGCUGCUGUAG